CGGAACUCUAAGUUCUCCUGCGCCAGCAGCAGCAGGUAUCUUUUCAGCCCAGCACUGGCGAGCGCCAUAGCCUCUAGUGACUGAUUCUUGGGGCACGCAUGCGCAGAGCCACGUUCGGGAAGAACUAGCGGAGAGGCGUGGCCAGAGCAGAGGAAAUGAAGGGCACGAGGAGGGGCGGGGGAGAGCGAGAGGCUGCCGCCGAAGUGAGUAUUGUAGGGUUGAAGUGCAUUAGCUGCGAAACGUUCUGCUACUGAAAAGACGAAUAUUGUGCUUUGGACAACAAAGCUGUUACUUCAGGACUUCUUUUGGUGUAUCCAGAUGUGUUCUUAAAACAUGGAGGGAAGCAAAGUGCAGAAUAUCAAAACAGCAAAAACCCAUAUUGGUACAGUUGGAGAACUAGCAAGAGGCUGGCAGAGUUGGACUAAAGAUCAUAUCGAUUAUCAGAGACGGAAUCCAUUCAGCAGCAACAGACCAGUAACUCUAUAUGCUAAAAGGGGAGAUGUUACCUAUGGGAGACCCCCUGAAGGCUCCAAAACAGAACAGAGGGGUAAAGAUGCUCACACCCACAUAAGCAAGGAAAUGGAAGAACUAUGCUUGGUCAUACGAAGCGUUGGAGAAAUGGGCCAGGAUGGACAUGUAAAAAUAACAUUCAAACAGAUCUUUGACAAAUAUGUAACCAUAUCCAAUAAGGUAGUUGGUGUUCUACUGAGAGCAAGGAAACAUGGCUUAGUUGACUUUGAUGGUGAAAUGCUUUGGCAAGGAAAAGAUGAUAAUGUGAUUAUUACCUUACUUGAGUAAAGUCGCUAGGUAUUAACCAUACUGCAUGUGGGUCUGAGAGCAGUUGAACACUGCUGGUUAGUGAAAACAGAAGGAAUUAUUUAAAUGAAAAAGGAGCAGAAACUAAACAUUUUGCAAUGAGUUUACACCUUGGUCAAUGAAUUCUCCAAUCAGUCUGUGCUAACUACUCUUAUCUAACUCCAGUAAUAAGACCGGAUGAACUCCCACAUUCUGUUCUGCUAGUUUGAAACAGCACUGGACCUAGAAAUGUGUGAGCAAUGUAAUUAAUAAAUUAUCACUUAUUAAUGCAGGCAUGAAUAAAUAAAGCAAGUUAAAAUAAGCAUCAAAUAAAGCUAAUUAAAACAAGUUAUUUCAGUGUCAAUAAGCACCUUUAAAACACUAUCACUUAGAUUACACUUUUUACCUCAAUUUCAAUUAGAACUUUUCUAGUAAAACCUCUCCUUCCCCUCCCCCUUGCAUUUCAAGAGAUUCAUUUACAAUUACAGGCUUUAAGACACCACAUAAAAGUAGGUCAUGUCAACCCAACUAUCAAUAACAGCUAGUUUCAAAUUAACACACUUGGUACAGGAUUCCCAGUGUUAUACUUGAGAUGUUUGUUUUAAUAGUUGGCAGGCAUUCACAUAUCAAAGGUUGCAGCUGUAUUUUUAAAUUAUGUUUGGUGUUGCACUCAUACACAUCUUCAGCAAUUCUGCAGCAUAUAAUUAGCGGUUUUCCUGCUUAAACAAAAAUGUUCCAAGAGAUCCAUGGGCUUUUAUUAGGAUUUUCCUUCUUAUAACAGUGCAUCAACUUGUCAAAGUUUCCAUUAUGUACACUCACAGUUCUAUUACAUAAACUCACAGUCAUAAUACAUAUAUAGUCUAUUCACUUUUAACAUUUAGUUUAACAUUUCAACAUGGUAGACAGCUUCCUCACCUCACAGAGUUUUAAUGGAGAUUUGAGUUUGCUGAAAGAUUUUAACCCACAUCCAGAAGUUAAUCCUAGUAGCAAAAUACAUGCUAAAUAACCAAUUAAUAAAGACAAUUAACAUUCUAAAAUCCCAAGAAUGGUGCAAAAUAUGUUUGUUUUAUUUUGGUAUACUUUGAACACAAGUGUAAUGGUGACUGUAUGAAGUAAUUAUGUUUAAUUAUUAUGUUUAAAUAACACACACUUGCCAUCACUACUAAUUCAGGUUGUUUUUCUUGAAACAGGUUGGUUAUCUUAAGGUGUAUGAACAUUGCAUAGGGCUGACAUUACUGUGAAGACCGCAGUAACCAUGCUGGGGAAAGUCAUUUCAAGCUAAGUGUUAAACAAUCUCCAGUUUUCCCAUUUGAUGCUCCCUAUGGAUUAGAUGCCAUCUGCACAGUGAUAUCUUUCUACUAUAUGAAACACAUCCUAAUGUCUAUGAUAGUUCCUCUACAUUCCAAUUUUAGGAGACAUGUAGGCCCAGCAUAAACUCUCUGAAAAUCAGCACAUGUUCUACUUUACAGUCCAAGUUCAAAGAAACAAUGACUUUACUUUGUCCUAUAAUUCACCUUCUAUUAAUAAAUGCAUGCACUUAACCAGAUAAAGUCUACAUUCAAACAAUCAUAUUCUGCUCCAACAGUAUAAUCUCUCAUUAAGCAAAGUUCUGAGUAAUUGUUCAUUGCUCUUGUUAUGCUUAAUCGUGUAAAUGCAUCAGUGCUGAAGUGAUUUAGCACCAACAGUCACCAUAACUACUGUUAGCAUUGUAAUGCCAAGAGUUGCUAAAGUGUUGUAUAGGCACAAAACCUCUGCAUUGUAUAAACAAAACUAACCAGAUAGAUUCAUAUAUUAAAUUUAUAAUUAGCUUUUUAACUAGCUUUUUGAAGACACUGUCCCCUUAAUUUUCUGAUUUGUAGACAUAAGUACUAUAAAGAGUGCUUGAGAAGUUUCUUAUUUCAGAUAUUUGCCUGAGAACUUUAGGGUACAAUGUUCACUAACCAUUAGUUCAACGGUUGUAUAGCAGCAUUUCUAAUACUCAUUUUCAAUUACGUUCAGUGGUCAUAAACCAAAGUGUCAUUUGUAGGCAAGGGCUUCUCAGCUUGUAGCACUUUCAGUUUUCAGUCGUUCCAUCAGUUGCUCAGCCUGUUAAAACAAAGUGUGAGAUAAUGUUAGUUCUUCUCUGGCUGCCUUCAAAAUACUUAUUUGUCCUUUGGAGUGAACAGACUGCUCCAAACCUGGAAGAAAAGAUAUUCGUGCUCUUGUGAGGACUUAAAAUUGAUAUAGCAGCAGAAAUGGCUUUCUGAAAAAAUGUAUUAAGUGCCUUAUGUUUUGUAUAAGUAUAACUUAUAUACAUUAGCCUUUAUUGGCAUAAAAUAUAAGUAUAAUUGUUUAAGUAGAAGGAAGAAAAGUUUUCAGUGUUUAAAAAUAAUUGUUUAAGGAGAUAAGAGCUAAUAGAAUGCCAAGUUUGGCCUUUUUUAUCUAAGAUUGAAAAGGUCUGUUCAGAAAUGUUUUUUAAUAAGUCAGUAUUUUAACUAACAGCUUUCAUUUUAUUCAGUUUCAUUUCAUUCAGUUUAACGAUAUGACUCUGAUUUGUCUUUGCAGAGAUUAUAGGGCAUACUGUUUUGCUCUACAACAGUAACAUAUUCUUCAAAGCUAUAGCAAGCUUAUGUGAUUUCUUAAUAAGGCAGUUCUUGCGAUUUUUGUCCGAAGACAGAAUUAUUCAGUUACCUAGAAUAUUAGACAGCUAGUACAGAGGAUUGGUUUAAGAUUAUAUCAUUGUAGGUCAGAUGGCAGUGACUAAUGCAAAAAUCUCUGUAAAAACAGAAAUUCCAGUUCACUCUUUGCUCUUUCCAGUCUGGCCCUCACAUCAGAAAAGAAAGAUGCCACUGGGCGCCUGCACUCUGGACUUACAGCCAUUGGGCUCUUGAGCUUGGUUACCAGCUCUGUAACACGCAAUGGGACUCUGUCUUUGCAUGGCAAGAGAUCUACUGGAUUCUUGCUGGGGCAAGUAGCCAGUAAGCUGUAUUUUCACCUUCUUGCUUUCUGCAGCAAGAAAAAUAGUUUAGAUAAGUUCCUUAGGUUAUAUCUGGGGGAAAACUUUUAUUUUAUUAGAUAACUGUUUUUAUUUUAUAUGUCUUCCCUGAGACAUUUGUUGAAUUGAAGAUUUUGUUUCUGAUAGGGAUGAAGUAAAUAUUUAUAUUUUUAAGUCUCUGGCGUUAUUGAGUUGAGCCUGAUAAGCAGAUGGCCUAACAAAACUAAGUCUUUCAAGGUUAACUGGCAUAAUUAAUAGACAGUAACAAUGUUCAGUAACCAGAUGCCUCUCUUCCAAAUCAAUAUUGUAUAGUCUCUUAGGGUACUUCCAUAUGUUGAUGUUUUCCAUGGAAUUCACUACCAGUGUGAAUACUUCUGAAUUUGCAUCAGGUAUGGAGUAUCCACAUCGUGGCUUUCUGCACACUUUGCUUACCUUAGCCCCAGGCCAUUGGAAGGUUUUUUUUAAAAAAAACUAGUAAUUAACAUUAUUAUAACCUUAAGCUAUAGAAAACUGUUUUGCACUGUUCAGCUUUGGUAAUCAACAUGUGGUAUUUAUGCUCUAGUUAGUAGGUUAGUUAUGAUGUAUUAGGGGGUAUCUUCUCGAUGCUGGAGAUGUAAAAGGAAAAAGGAUGCAUAUAUCAUAUGUGGUGGAAUUGUGAAUUAAUUAGAGAAUUUUGCCUGGAGAUUCAUAACAAAUUAACAAAUUUAAGUAUUGAUUUAACUUUUCAACCAGAAUUGUUUUUGUUGAAUAUGGUAGAUAUCACAAUGAAGAAACAUUGUAGAACGUUGCUUUUAUAUAUGGUUACGGCAGCCAGACUACUGAUCUCAAGGAAUUGGAAAAAGACUAAUGUCCCGCUGAUAAAGGAUUGGAUUCUACUUCUCAUUGACUUUGCCUCUCUUGAUAAAUUAUCGAAUAUAUUAAAAAAGAAGAAUGUAGAAACUAUUAUAAAUAUUUGGCAGCCAUUUAAUGAAUAUUAUGAAACUAAGUUUGGACACAAAAAUAUGCUAACAUACCUUUAAUGCUAGAAAUUGAUUAAACAAACUAAAAUGAGAUACAACUUUUGGAUUUUAAGUUAAAAAGGAUUUCUUUAACUGAAAGUUGUUUAUAUUUCUUUGCUUUUUUUCUUCUGUUUUCUCCCUUUUUUAGUUGAUGCUUUUUAUAUGCAGUAAUAUGACGUAAGAUGAUAUGUGGUCUGUUUUGAUUAUGUUAAGUUAUAAUGGUAUUGCUAAGUUGUAAUUGUUAUGUAUUUAAUCUGAAAUAAGACUUAUUUUAAUUUUUUUAA